rnacentral:rRNA from 1 species
GUAGUCCUGGCUGUAAACGAUGUCGACUUGGAGGUUGUGCCCUUGAGGCGUGGCUUCCGGAGCUAACGCGUUAAGUCGACCGCCUGGGGAGUACGGCCGCAAGGUUAAAACUCAAAUGAAUUGACGGGGGCCCGCACAAGCGGUGGAGCAUGUGGUUUAAUCCGAUGCAACGCGAAGAACCUUACCUGGUCUUGACAUCCACGGAAGUUUUCAGAGAUGAGAAUGUGCCUUCGGGAACCGUGAGACAGGUGCUGCAUGGCUGUCGUCAGCUCGUGUUGUGAAAUGUUGGGUUAAGUCCCGCAACGAGCGCAACCCUUAUCCUUUGUUGCCAGCGGUCCGGCCGGGAACUCAAAGGAGACUGCCAGUGAUAAACUGGAGGAAGGUGGGGAUGACGUCAAGUCAUCAUGGCCCUUACGACCAGGGCUACACACGUGCUACAAUGGCGCAUACAAAGAGAAGCGACCUCGCGAGAGCAAGCGGACCUCAUAAAGUGCGUCGUAGUCCGGAUUGGAGUCUGCAACUCGACUCCAUGAAGUCGGAAUCGCUAGUAAUCGUGGAUCAGAAUGCCACGGUGAAUACGUUCCCGGGCCUUGUACACACCGCCCGUCACACCAUGGGAGUGGGUUGCAAAAGAAGUAGGUAGCUUAACCUUCGGGAGGGCGCUUACCACUUUGUGAUUCAUGACUGGGGUGAAGUCGUAACAAGGUAACCGUAGGGGAACCUGCGGCUGGAUCACCUCC